UACACCAGAUUUACCCUCAACUCGUCCUCACCACUUCUCACAAUCUCUCACAAUUUCAUAGCUCGAAUCUAGUGCUCGAUUGUGAAAAUGGACGCAAGCACAAAGGUGAAGAAGGGAGCAGGAGGAAGAAAAGGAGGAGGACCAAGGAAGAAGGCGGUGACAAGGUCCGUCCGAGCUGGUCUUCAGUUUCCCGUCGGAAGAAUCGGCCGUUUCUUGAAGAAAGGUAGAUAUGCUCAACGUGUUGGUACUGGUGCUCCGGUUUACCUGGCUGCUGUUCUAGAGUAUCUUGCUGCUGAGGUACUUAUUUCCACUUUGAAAUUCUUUGCUACCGAUUUUGAAUUUUGUAAAUUGAUUUUUUGUAUUAUUGAAUUAGAACCUAAUUUUGGAAUUUAUUUUUGUGUGAAGGUUCUUGAGUUGGCUGGAAAUGCUGCACGUGAUAACAAGAAGAAUAGGAUUAGUCCAAGACAUUUGUUGUUGGCUGUGAGGAACGAUGUAGAGCUUGGAAAAUUGCUUGCUGGUGUUACUAUUGCUUAUGGUGGUGUUCUUCCUAAUAUCAACCCUGUGCUUUUGCCUAAGAGGACUGAAAGUGCCGCCAGCGCUCCCAAGUCUCCUUCCAAGGCCAAGAAAACACCCAAGAAAGCUUAGAUAGGUUUAUUCUUUUCUUGUUAUUAUGUGUGUAUAUCUUAGAUUAUGCACCUCUCAUGUGACAUAUAAUUGUUCAAUGUAUACCAAGCUAUGUAAUUUGAAUGCUGUAUUUCUCAGGUAGGAGAUUGAUUCGUUAAUGAAAACGUUUUGUUUUUAAUCA